ACCUGGCUAGCUCAGUUGAUAGAGCAUGAGAUUCUUAACCUCAGAAUUGUGGGCUCAUGCCCCACAUUGGGUG
rnacentral:tRNA from 1 species